rnacentral:rRNA from 1 species
CCCUUAGAUGUUCUGGGCCGCACGCGCGCUACACUGACGAUGGCAACGAGUUUUUCCUUCGCCGAAAGGUGUGGGUAAUCUUUUGAAACAUCGUCGUGCUGGGGAUAGAUCAUUGCAAUUUUUGAUCUUGAACGAGGAAUUCCUAGUAAGCGCGAGUCAUCAGCUCGCGUUGAUUACGUCCCGGCCCUUUGUACACACCGCCCGUCGCUACUACCGAUUGAAUGGUUUAGUGAGGACUCCUGAUUGGCGCCGCCGCCCCGGCAACGGAGCAGCGGACUGCCGAAAAGUUGUUCAAACUUGAUCAUUUAGAGGAAGUAAAAGUCGUAACA